rfam:Papio anubis isolate 1X1155 chromosome 15, whole genome shotgun sequence.
CGAAUCUAAAGCAAUCAAGCAUUCAAGUUAUUUCCCA